rnacentral:lncRNA from 11 species
AUGCUCCCUUUCACCCAGGAAGAGUCUUGGAGGGGGGAAGCUUCGAGGCAGGCCUGCAUUACCCUCCUCAACACACACAGAAAGGGGAGGAUGAGCUCUCCCAUCGCUAGUAUCUGGGAAUUAGAUCCGGAAGCACAAACACCAGCCUGGCUUAGAGAACUGGCACAGGCCUUAAUCAAAUCAUACCUUAAGUCUCUUGUCUUCAAAGAAACGCACAGGGAGAAUUUCUCUGGAAGGAGCAAGUUAAAGAAAGGGUCAAGUUUCACUGCCGCACCCUUAUCUGGAAACCCAAAAGAAAUGGCUUCAAAUAUCUUGUCAGAAGGAAAUGUCCGAGGAGGAUGACUCUCUUCGUCUAUUUGUUUGCUCUCCUGAGUUUUCUGCUUUCCAUUUCUCCUGUCAAGAGUUUCAUUGUCACCACUAUAUUGACCAGGAUCAUUGACCCACUCCACAAAUAUCUCACCAUUGAUGAGCUGCAUCUUUUCAUCAUUGCUUGUGAUCAGUUCUUCAGUAAAUGUUCCAUCCUGGUCAAGCACUUCAUCCCUCAUGUAAGGAAUAUUAUGCAAAACUGUCUCAUCCUCUACCAUAAAAGAAGAUGAAUAAAGAAUACAUUAUGGAACAUAUGAUGUAGACUUGUGCAAUUUUAAAAUGACGUUUUAUAAUUGAUGUUUUAAUUAUCUGUUUUUAAUUGUAUUGUUUUUGUAACUGUCUGUUUUUGGCAUCUAAUGACUUCUGGCCGUGAAGCUGCCCUGAGUCCCCCCUGGGGGUGAGAAGGACGGGAUACAAAUGGAUGAAAUAGAUAAAUAAAUAAACAGCAUUCGAAGAUGGAUUACUUGCUUUGGAAAAGAAAUGCAAGUCACUGAUGGUAGAAAACUUCCUGAUUACAUAUAAUGAGCUCACAGAGGUCAUGAUGUGUGCAGGUUGGAUCCGGUAUUGUUUCCAUUAUUGAUUUAAGAUUGUAUCAUCUCAUGGUUAGAAUUAAAAAUACUCUUUGCUUCAUCUGCUUGUCUGAACCUCUUGGCAGCAUAUAUUCUGAUUCUACAUAUUUCCACCAGCGAAUCAUUCCCUUCUCAGAUAAGCGAGAUCUAUAUAUGAUUAUUGUAUGUAGUACUUUUAGAUUGUUUUUAUAUGGUUGCACUUUUAUGUUGUAUUUAAUUUAUAUGCAACUAGCUAUGGUCUAACAACUUAUCAUAUAAUGCAGUACUUUAUAAUUUAAUAACAGGGUCAAGUAUGCUAUAGGAUCAAUGCUGGAAGAAGUCAGCCUUACCAACUGUGGAAGAAUGGAUAGUAAAAGUUUUCAGAAAAGCAGAAAUGAGCAAAUUGGCCGUGAUGAGCAAACACAAAAGUUUUAUCAAAUACUGUGAAGCAUUUCGAAACUUUGAAGAAGAAAAAAGAUGAAAGUAUUAACAGAAGGCUU